rnacentral:rRNA from 1 species
UACAGAGGGUGCAAGCGUUGUUCGGAAUUAUUGGGCGUAAAGCGCGUGUAGGCGGCUUUGCAAGUCGGGUGUGAAAGCCCUCAGCUCAACUGAGGAAGUGCGCCCGAAACUGCAGAGCUUGAGUGCCGGAGAGGGUGGCGGAAUUCCCCAAGUAGAGGUGAAAUUCGUAGAUAUCUGGAGGAACAUCGGUGGCGAAGGCGGCAUCCUGGACCGGUAUUGACGCUGAGGCGCGAAAGCCAGGGGAGCAAACGGG